GAGAAGAAUUCAUUAUUCUUAUCUUUUCUUUCUUCUUCUUUUUUCUUUCCUCUUUUCGUUUCUUCUUCUCUUUUCUUCUGCUUCUCCUCUGCUCUCCUAUGUUGAUGUUCGAUAGAUGAAUGGAGGGUGAUUUUGUUUUUAGAGAUUCAUAAGAAGCUUCGGGUGUUGACGCAAAGGAGUAGGUGACGGUGUGGUGAUCGAUUAAGCCUCGAAGAAGAAGAAUCUGAUGCUGCUGAAAAUUAAAAGUUAGGGUUUUGUUUCGGAGUUAUGAAGGAAUCAAGAGAACUUGAUGAUUCUGUUGAGGGUUUGGUGAUUUAUGGUGGUGUUGAUUCGGGAAGUGAUUCAACUCAGAAGUUUUGGUAAGUCAGAUUCAGGGUUCUCUUAUUUGGGUUUGAUUUUUUGAAAUAGAGUAAAAAGUAAUGAAUCUUAUAUGGGUUUGUUCAAUUGAAGUUGAAUCGGUUAUAUGGAGGUUUAAUUUGAGGUAAUUGUGAAUUCAGAGAAUUAGGGUUUCUCUCUUGUUCUUCCCCAAAUUAGAGAUUCGGGUUCUUAAGUCGGAAAUUAUUAGAUGCAGAAGAUAAAUUGAGGUUGUGAUGAUGCUGAAUAAUGGUUUUGUGUUAUGUUUGACUGCAAAUGAUAAGAUUGAUUUGACAUAAAUCUAUGGUUAUAAUUAUAUAGAGAAUUAGUGUGGGUGUUUCAAAUGAUACUGGAAUUGUACAAGUACUGGUAGUAUUUUUGGAAUUGUAAGUGUUGAGGUUUGAUUGUGUAGGUGAAAUGAAAAUGGAGAUAUAGAUAAUGAUUUGAGUUACUGGUGAGAAUUAUGAACUGUAUGGAAUGAUAUGGUAAUCAAAUAAUGUUGUUAAGUUAAGAAUGAAUGAUCUGGUGAUGUAGGUAUGGUAGAUUGAAUUACAGAUGGUAAUGAUGAUGUUGUGGGGUUGGUUUCUCAUGCAGUUCAGUGUGUAUGUAUGGAAGUUGAGAGAAUGAAAUGAUGAGAAUGGUAUUACUAAAUUUACAGAUUGUGCAAGCAAGUUUGGAAAUGGAUUGGGUACAUCUACUGGGAAUUGUAUGUGCAGAUGAAGAGUGUGGAAGUGAUGUCUGGAGGGUAAGUAGAACUGUUAUUGGUAGAUGUUAGUGGAGCUGUAGUUGUAAUUGACUUGGUAGUUGAAGUGAAUUUCUUCUUGAAUUGAAUGUAUGUGUGCUGGAAUGGUAGGCUAUGGACUGUAGUUGUAUAUGUGAAGUGGCUGCAAGAACUCUUGGCGUAGGUUUGUGCUGUUAAGAUGUAUAAACUGAGUUGGUUCUAUUGCUGCCAUAGCAAAGGCUUUAUUGAAAGCUGCAUUUGCAGUUAGUCUGUAUUCAAAACGAUCGAUUCAAAGGAUGAACCAGUGGAUCUUGGAUCUCGAGGUAGACGAGGCUUGUCAUCAAAAGAGUUUUCAGAGACAAAUCAGAGUUGCGCAGCGAAAGCUUCAAGGGUUGAUUUCAUCAGUUAGUUUACUUCUGCUUUGUUUAUUAUGUUGUAUAUUCUUUUGUAAAGAAAAUGACAAUUGUAUAUGUAUCAUUUGAGAGGUAUUCUUAUUUAUAUAUUUCUGAGUGGGGCUAGUAUUUGGGUUAAGCUUUGCAGCAGAUUUCUUAAUUAAAUGUUUAAGUAAAUGAUUUAGAUUCUUAGUGCCUAUUUAUUGAGUUAAUUUCUUGGAUU